rnacentral:tRNA from 1 species
GGUUUGUGCUCAGUGGUAGAGCAUUCGCCUAGCAUGUGCAAGGCCCUGGGUUUGAUCCUCAGCACCA